GUUGGUUUAGUGUAAAGGUCAGUGCGGCCGGUUUUCGCCCGGCAAGUGAUGGUAUACCGCCCAUCAGCCAGCU
rnacentral:tRNA from 1 species